CGGACAUCAACGGACACCUCCAGAGGCCCGAGCUAAACCGGCCGUUGCUUCCGUGAGACAGUUGCAGCCGUUUGGCACUGCACGCACCACUGCUUGGGAGCUCGUUGGGACCUGCGGAGUCCGAUCAGACUGAGUUGUCCUGUCUGGGCACUCUCCUUGCAGGCUCCUGGUGCCUCGCCCAGGGCUCCAGAUGCGCCACAAGGCCAGGUAUUGCGGGUCCUCUCCCGCAGAUCACAGAGGGCAAAGCUAUGCCCCGCGAGAGCUCACCCAAAUCCAUCAGGCCCACGGAAGGUACUACUGUGUGUCUCUUGGAGAGUGGGACAGGGGUCGCUUUCUCCAUGGCUACCUGGUCCCCAGCAUCACCCACCAGGAUGCAAAGGCUUCCAGGCAGAGUGGAAGCUUCCAGAGGCCAGGAAACAGGAAUUCACUCAGCGUUUGGGGAGCUGCAGCCAGCACACAAGUGCCAUGGUCAGCCUUAGACAGCCCACAGCACCUUCCUCUGGGGCGCCCUCUUCUGCUCCUGAACCAAUGAAAGUGCAUUAGAAUGGAACUAGAAGCUCUGGGUUCCUGACCCACAUCUACCAGAACAUAAUUAUAUCCCCUUGGGCGCAGAUAGCUAUGUGCCAUGUCCAGCAUCUAAGAAGCAGGAAGUGUGAGGAUGUCUGG